UGCCGGGCGGGGCGAUGCCGGGCGGGGCGAUGCCGGGCGGCAGCAUCCGCGCCGGGCACGGGCGGGAGGAGGAGCGGGAGGUUACGGCGGGGAGCCGGGACAAACCAUUCCCUGCGAGGGGUCACCGCCGGCGGCCGGGAGGCCGGGCGGGGCGGGGAGCGCGGGCCCUCCCACACAGCCCAGCCUUUCUCUUUCCUCCUUCCUUGAAAUCCCAGCUGCCAUAGAAGUCCUGCUCACCAACACCACUGAAACUCUCAGAAGCCUUUUACCUCUAACUGUAUAACCCUGAAAUUUGUGGAUGAAAAAGCCCUCUAUAAAUGAAAUGAAAAGGAGGAUGCAAGAGAAGUAUAUCCUUGAGAUAGCUUAUGAAGAGUAACAGGCACAAAACUGGAAAACACACCCAGGCCCAGUGUUGCAAGUAACAUCCUGAUGUCACCGAUGGCAAAACUUCAUUUGAGUACGAAGAAAUCAAGAUUUCAUUUGAGACUUCAGAAAAAUAAUUUCUUAUCAGUAAUGGCCUUUAUGCCCUUUGCCCCUGCUUGUGUGUGCUCAGGGGAUCAGAAAUCUGGUUUGUCUUCUCAGUAAUGAUGAGGAAAGGCCUGACUGAUUUAACAUGCCUUCAUUUUUCUUCAACACUAUCCAUGAAAAUUAAGAUCUAACCUACAAAUAUUUGGAGAAGGCAAGGGAUGCCAAGCACCACCAAACUGUGCUGCUGCAUUCCAUUGGUUUUGUGAACUCUUACAAAAUAACAGUUCUGGUAGUAAAUCUGCAGUACAGUGAAGGGAAAGACCAAGUAAAUGGAAUAGAGUGGCAAAAAAAACCAAAUGGAGGCCAAAAGGGAUAGGGAAAAAGGAAAAGCCAAGUGUGAAAAUACAUGCAUAUAAAGCCUUUGGAGGAUAGAAAAGAACAUUUUUGGGAGGAAUGGAAAUAUGAUUUAUUUUAGCAGUAUAAAAAAUUAAAACUAGGAGGGACAAAAAAUAUCUGAUUAAAUCACAGAAUAACUUUUACUGUGAUAAAGUAGGUGGAAGGGGAGAUUUCUGAGGAGAAAUACCAAAGGACAAGCUUUGAAAUCUAGCUGUUUCAAGUGAUCUACACAUAUAAUGCCAUCACCUCUGUGAUAAAAUGUUGCACCUGAGCAUAAGAAAUAAAUGCAGAUGUUAUCCCCAAGACAGAUUUCUAUACAUCCUCUGUUAGAGACCUUGAUUGAUUCAUUUUACCUGAAAUUAUUUGAAAGGAAUUACAGCAUUGGAAAUGAGAAAUGCUUGAGGAUGAUUUUUAUAUGUAGACAUUUAUUGGCUAAUAUAUUACUUGAGGAUGCAUCUGCUCUUUGCACAAAAAGAAUGGAGUUCUUUCUUAUAAGUGUGAUGGUUAAAAUCAUAAUACUUAAUACCAGUUUUAAAGCCCUUUCUGUCACAUUCAUGUGCAAAAACUGUACUGCACAUGGUUACUGUCUUUUAAAAUGGAUUUAAAAAAUAAGAGCUUCACUGGAAGCAUUACAUUUAUUUCAGCUAUUAUUAGAAAAUUACCUCUGUAUUUCAGAUGUGAAACUGAGUUUAGAGAAAAUCUGGCUUGGGCUAAAUGCAAAUAGAAGUCAAAGUUCUGUGAUUAAAACAAUGCUUGAAAACACUCAACUUCUCUUUCUUGGUGAAUCAGCCAUACAGCCAUCAAAUAUACAGAACAUCUACUGAUAUCAAAGUAUAGUCUGACAGUGGCUUCUCAGGCUCUGGAGUUGGGGGGAAAAACACUUUUACAUUGACAUUUGCAUUACAACCACUUGAAAUAACCACUUCUUCUUUGUGCUAAUGAGAAUUUAUAAGUUCUUCUUGGCAUGCACUGUAGAUAUUUCUCCUUUUAGCUUUGUGAGUCAAACACAAA